CAGCAGCAUUUGGGAGCUUAGUAGAAAGGCAUAAUGUCAGGCACUAACUCAGAUAUGCUGAAUCAGAAUCUGAAGUUUGAGGAGAUGCCUAGGUGAUUUGAAUGCAUGUUAAGUUUGAGAAGCAGUGGUCAAGACUUGACUGAGUCAAGUUUUAAACUAGACAUGUUAGAAAGUAGAGUGUGUUAUAGCCAUCUAUCAUCAUCUCCUUCGUCCUGGUAGCCACUUUAGUUCAAAGAGACCCUGCCCUUUCUAGCUAUAAUUGAUCAGGGAGCACCUGACACCAGCUUAACCAAUCAGCAUUCCUUUACCAGGUAUUUGAAAAUGGCAAGGAAAGAGUGAUUCAGUCUUUCUAUUGGUUGGACCACUGAAUGAGUAAACUCAAGUAAGUUACAGUGGCCAUAUUCUGGAAAGCAGAAAAAACUGGAAAGCAAAGAGAGAGAACAAUGACGCAGAUAUAUGGAGAAAAGCAGAAAUGAAGAGAAAAUGCUGCUUCAAUCCCUGAUCACCUUCCUGUUCUCUAUCAUUGUCCCCUGUAUCUCUAUAUUACACUCCCACAUGGUGUAAGCUAAUAUGAUUUGGUUAUUGUUGGGAACCAGAGUUCUACUCAAUAAAGCGGAUGCGGGUGAAUUUAGAAGGCUGAGAACAAAGAGAAAAGGGUGGUCUUGCUUCAUAAGUGUGUAUGUUGGUGGAGGUUGUUGAGAGAUUUGAAGACCAGGAGCAGGAGAUGGCCCACAGCAUGGGGGGUAGCUCUGUGUGGAGAGAGGACCCGAGGGGUCUUCCAGAGCUCACUGCCCACACCAGACACAUGACAAGCAUUUACCGAUCCUUCACAUUGUCUCAUUUGAUCCCUGCCACAAUUCAGCAAGGGAGCUGGUGCUAGCCCCAUUUACAGAGGAGGAAAGCAAACUUCAGAAAGGUUAAGUAACUUGCUCACGGCUGCCAGGAAGUGCAAGGCGGUCAUGAACUGGACCCAGCUGUGACAGACUCCAAAGGCCUCCGUCUUAACUACUUAAGCACCUAACCUCUAUUAAAGGCGCUCCAUGCAGGUUACCUAGCAUAUCCGUGGAACUUUUGAAAAAUACAACGCUCCUCCCCUCCCAGAGAUUCUGCGUGGGGCCCUGGUAGAGUAUGUUGCAAAAGCAUCACCAGCUUGGAUUUGCUUUUGGCAACGUGGUUGGAAUGUAUCUGGCUCAGAACUACGACAUACCAAACCUGGCUAAAAAACUUGAAGAUAUUAAAAAGGACUUGGAUGCCAAGAAGAAACCUCCUAGUUCAUGAGGCCGACUCCAGUACUGCCUUCUGGAUGUACUGAUUCUGCUGCUCUUGAGGGCCUCCUUUGCUAUCUCAACCAAAAGCUUUUGUUUUCAUCUCCAGCCUCAGCGAGUUUCUUCUUUGCUGGACCCUGUGUUGCCUUAGAGCACAAGUGGAGCCGCAGUUAAGAACUACCCUACUUUUCCAGCAUCCUCACCUCUGCCCUUCCUCCUUCCAGCCUCUUGGGAGGUCCUAAGACUGGAAUUAUGGUGCUAGAUUAGUAAACAUGACCUUUAAUUAGUCUCCCCUUAUUCUUUGGAUCUCUGCUACCUGUUUUCAAAAGAGAAAUUGAUGAGUUUUAUAUAGCUGAUUAGAUAUAAAUGAUGCUGAUUUCACAGUUUAGCAAGUAUAAUGGGUGUUUAAACUUUUGGUACUAAAUUAUGUUGUUUCAAAGUAAUUAAAAUUAAAAUCUAGAAGCCAGUUUCUAGUGAAUUAUCUAUUUUUUUAUACUGUUGUCAGGCAGCUCCAUAGUUGCUAAUUUAACCAGUAAAUCGUUUUGCUAUGCAUUAACCGAGAAACUAUAUUCUGAGAACCCUGUCAGGAACUGGGGAAUUUAAAUAUACAUAAAAUGAUGGCUUUUGUCCUCAGAAGUCAUAGUCUAGUAUGCAUGUUUUUCCAUAAUGAUGCAUUUCAUCUGGCUCUCUUCCCUCAAAAGAAUCAUACUUGUUUUAAGGGAUUACAGGUGCAUUUGAUAUUACAUGGUGGAUACAUGAGAAGUUGUCUAUAAAGGAAAUGUUAUGCCUUUUCACAUUUAAAGAAAUGUAUGUACAUUAUAACUUUAGAGUGAUUCUUAUAAGAAAACUUUCUUUUUUGUUUUUUUCUGCAGUCAGAAAUUACCCUUGUAUUUGUCAAACAUAGAAUCAGUCCAUAUUUUUUUAAUUGGAAAAAAAGGUUUAAAUUAACUUUUUCCUCCAGGUCAAGAUACAAAAGUGUUUUAAGGGCCCUCCCCCUCCCCGUCCUCCAGUGCUGUCCCCAGUUUCCUGUAUACUCUGAGAAAGAUUCUGUGCCUAAACAAACACACGUUGCAUGGGGGUUUAUACAGAUAACAAGCUAUAUACAAUGUUUGCCCUUUGCCUUUUUUUAAAAUGGAGAUCAUUCCAUAUCAGUAUGUAAGGAACAAAGAACCUCUUUCCUUUUUUGGCUACAUAAGGUUCUAUUGAAUGGAUAUACCAUAAUUAAUUUACUUUGCUCCUAAUGAACAUUUAGGUUAUUUCCUUUCUUUUGCUUUUACAGUGAUAACCUUGAACAUAAUGUUAUUAUGCAUAUCUGGGCGGGGUAUAGCUAUAAGCUAAAGUCCUAAAAGUGUAAUUUCCACUAAAUAUAGAUAAAGUCCCACUUCAGUGGGUGUUUUGUUUCAGAAGGCUUUUUGGGCAGCUUCACUGGUAAUGCCAUUUCUGAAGACACUUUAGCAGAAACAGUAACCUGGAAGAAUUAGUUAGAGACACCUUUUUUCAGACAGUGAUGACACUAAUGCUAUAUGUGAUUAUAAAAUAAAGUGAUUCUGCGUCUCUUUGAAAACAUGGAUCUCUCAUAUAUGGAGAUAACUUUUAUCCCUAUCAGGGCAUCCUGGGUGUGAGAUAGAUUAAGAUCAUAGUAUGGUUUGGCUUCUCUCUAGCAGUGUGAUCAUAGAAAAGCAGCUUAUUUUUCUGAAACUGUUGUAUUCUCUGUAAGAUGUGGAUGCAAUACCUACCUCAUAGGGCUUCCAUGAGACACAGUUAAGAUAAUGUAUGUGAUGUGUUGCACAGUGCUUUGCAAAUUGUCCAAUAAAUAGUAGAUAUUAGUCCAAUCAUGCUGCUUUUGGUCAGAAUACUUUUGUUUUUCUGCAGUUACUUUUGGAACCAGGGUAUGAACCAUGCAAAAUUUGUCAUCAUUCUGUGGUCUCUCUCUUGGUUGUUGAAAAUCUAUAGUAUCCACCUUGAUCAUACUACCUGGCUCACAAGGUUUGAUCAUGCAUGACUGAAUUGUUAUGAGAAUGAACUACAGCAUUAAAGGAUAAGGCUUACCAUCCUUGAGGGUGUUCAAAAUGCCCCAGGCUUAGACAUCUGUUUCCACAGAGGGAUUCCUUGUUAUCAGCCAUGGUAGGAUUGUUAUUUGUGUAUGUGAUCUCCCAGAGUGGUUGCUUUAGGGAUGAAGUUCACUUGGAUGUUAUAAGAUUACGUCUCUAUGUAUUAUAUCUUGUAAACAAAGCUCAUUUGAAUUUAGGGCUUCCCUCAAGGGUGACACUCAACCUUGCUGAUAGGAUCAUUUCUACCAGCGGGAGCCAUCCAGCAAAUCAGUCUUUGCAUUCACCUUCACCGUGUAAACUGCUACACAGUGAAUACAGGCUGACUUAGUGGUCACCAUUCAGAUACCCUCUCAUAGUUUUAGGUUCUUGCAGCAGUGACAGGGAGCUCAGAGUUCUCAGGCAAGGUUAUCUUCACUGAGAUAAAUGUUGGAGGAACCCAGAACAUCGUAGAUUGUAGGGUGUAGUUUCAAGUUCGUAAUGCGGAUAGGGGUUGUGAUCAUUAUCCUGACACUGAAAGUUCCCUGGGGGCUUUGUAAGGACACUUAACCUCACAAAUCAGUUGAGGGAUGGGAAGAACCACUGCAAGACAUGUGGUUUUUUUUUCCUUUAAAAAAUGUUUGAAAACUCCUAUUGAUAUGAUUUAAGAACUUUUUUGCACCCCUGGCUGUAAAAGGAGGAUUACAUAAAAUACUACUGAAGGUUACUCGCGUGUGAAAAAUAAGACUUCAGUUGAUGUAGGGAACUUAAUAAAGGAACUUGAAAGCUUAUCUUUAAACUCUCCCCCUCCCAAACAAAAAAACAAAGGGAGAGAAAACCCAAAACAAGCUUAAAAUCGCCAAAUGGGGCUGUAUUUUAUGAGUUGAAGUUACCAGUUGAUGUCUUUUGACUUCUAAUUUGGUGUUUUAUGCAAUUAAGCAGUUACUUGCUUCUGAUUUAGAGGAACAAUUUUAUUUCCUUUUUUCUAACUCAUUUAUUCAAUUUUCAUUUGUGUGACUUUAGAGAAGGUUAAGAUGUGUGAUUUAUCCUGUUGUCUAUACUUAGGGGUUCAUAGAGCAUAUGUCCACAUGCCCCAUGUUUUCAUUUCCACUAAGCAGUUUACUCCCUAGAUACUAUGCUGGUGUUUGUUUUUCUGCUGAAGUUUCCCACAUUUUUAAUGCUUUUUCUGUUAUUUCUCCUGAAGGAACACUGUAUACUGUACUGUAGUAAAUGGGGCUAUUCUGAAACUUCUCAUCUUGGACUUUGCACGUAGUAUUUCCAUUCCUUAUGCAGAUGAAUGAGUUCUUUUUUCCCUACUGACCAUUAGGGCCUUGCCUUGUGGAAAGGAACAAGGUGGUGAAGGGAAAGUAUUUUUGAGACCUUGCCUGGUCUCAUUAGGGAGUUUGUGACAGACACUUAGAUUUUCAAAUGUUCAGUUUAUACCUUUCCUAAAUCUAGAUGCAGCUUAUUUAGUCAAGUACUGAAGAUCUAAUGGAUGGCAUGUUUUACAAGGCACUGGGAAAGAAACAAGACCAGAACAGUGAGGUUUUGUGGGAGGUACUCAGGGCAGGGCGUUGCAAAACCUGAGUCCUAAGCCUGCUCGAAUCGUUGUCUGUGCGGUAAGACCUUAUGAAAGGUGCAGUGUGGUUGCAUCAUUCUUACAUGUACAGUUGUCCAGGAUUGGGACAAGAAAAGGGGCCAUGUAAAUAGUGUGGGCCAUUGUGCUCAGCAUGGAUUCAGUGAGGGCAGCCCCAGAACGAGCCACCUGUGCUCACGGGUGGUCUCUGUUCCCUUUGUGUACUCAUGGUUCCUGCAAUCUUGUUAUACUGAGAAUGAUUCUAGUGUUUAAACCUUUUCAAACAUGAUCCCUAAAUGUGAAGCCAACUAGUUUAUUUGGUGUUCAGCUGAAGAAAGAGGGAUCUAUUCUGACAUUGAAGAGAAAACUAGCUAUUUUUUGUUUAUUAAAAGAUGGCACAUGAGUCUUUGGGCCACGUAAAUGCUAAUAUGAAAGAUUGUAUACCGGGUACUUCAUGAGUGACUUAAGGGAAUUUCAGAGGCAGCUUUGACUAAGCAAAUUUGAUUUAUAAUUGACUUGAGAAUAAGAUGCAA
rnacentral:lncRNA from 1 species